rnacentral:rRNA from 1 species
GUUGGCUGCCAGACUGCCUUGGGCUAGGAUCGUGUAUUGAUCCAAGAUAAGCAGGGUUGGGCUGGAGCAGUACUUGGAGGGGUGACCUCCAAGGGUCAUCCAGGGCUGCUGGAG